rnacentral:rRNA from 1 species
AGGACGAACGCUGGCGGCGUGCUUAACACAUGCAAGUCGAACGAUGAAGCGGUGCUUGCACCGUGGAUUAGUGGCGAACGGGUGAGUAAUACGUGAGUGACCUACCUUUGACUCUGGGAUAAGCCUGGGAAACUGGGUCUAAUACCGGAUACGACCAAUCUCUGCAUGGGGUGUUGGUGGAAAGCGUUAUGGAGUGGUUUUAGAUGGGCUCACGGCCUAUCAGCUUGUUGGUGAGGUAAUGGCUUACCAAGGCGACGACGGGUAGCCGGCCUGAGAGGGUGACCGGCCACACUGGGACUGAGACACGGCCCAGACUCCUACGGGAGGCAGCAGUGGGGAAUAUUGCACAAUGGGCGCAAGCCUGAUGCAGCGACGCCGCGUGAGGGAUGACGGCCUUCGGGUUGUAAACCUCUGUUAGCAUCGAAGAAGCGAAAGUGACGGUAGGUGCAGAGAAAGCGCCGGCUAACUACGUGCCAGCAGCCGCGGUAAUACGUAGGGCGCGAGCGUUGUCCGGAAUUAUUGGGCGUAAAGAGCUUGUAGGCGGUUGGUCGCGUCUGCUGUGAAAGGCCGGGGCUUAACUCCGGUUUUGCAGUGGGUACGGGCUAACUAGAGUGCAGUAGGGGAGACUGGAAUUCCUGGUGUAGCGGUGGAAUGCACAGAUAUCAGGAGGAACACCGAUGGCGAAGGCAGGUCUCUGGGCUGUAACUGACGGCUGAGAAGCGAAAGCAUGGGGAGCGAACAGGAUUAGAUACCCUGGUAGUCCAUGCCGUAAACGUUGGGCACUAGGUGUGGAGGACAUUCCACGUUUUCCGCGCCGUAGCUAACGCAUUAAGUGCCCCGCCUGGGGAGUACGGCCGCAAGGCUAAAACUCAAAGGAAUUGACGGGGGCCCGCACAAGCGGCGGAGCAUGCGGAUUAAUUCGAUGCAACGCGAAGAACCUUACCAAGGCUUGACAUGCAUUAGAUCGCGUCAGAGAUGGCGUUUCCCUUCGGGGCUGGUGUACAGGUGGUGCAUGGUUGUCGUCAGCUCGUGUCGUGAGAUGUUGGGUUAAGUCCCGCAACGAGCGCAACCCUCGUUCUAUGUUGCCAGCGGUUCGGCCGGGGACUCAUAGGAGACUGCCGGGGUUAACUCGGAGGAAGGUGGGGAUGACGUCAAAUCAUCAUGCCCCUUAUGUCUUGGGCUUCACGCAUGCUACAAUGGCCGGUACAGAGGGUUGCGAUACUGUGAGGUGGAGCUAAUCCCUUAAAGCCGGUCUCAGUUCGGAUUGGGGUCUGCAACUCGACCCCAUGAAGUCGGAGUCGCUAGUAAUCGCAGAUCAGCAACGCUGCGGUGAAUACGUUCCCGGGCCUUGUACACACCGCCCGUCAAGUCACGAAAGUUGGUAACACCCGAAGCCGGUGGCCUAACCCUUGUGGGGGGGAGCCGUCGAAGGUGGGAUUGGCGAUUGGG